rnacentral:rRNA from 1 species
CAAUCCGGUGAUAGCACGUUGAAAACACCAGUUGCCAAAUGAUCACUGAUGGUAAGAAACGUUAUGCGUGGUUGGUAUUCGGAUGGGUGGACUAUCUGGACAAUCGCGUGAACAGAUCAC